rnacentral:rRNA from 1 species
UACGUAGGGGGCAAGCGUUGUCCGGAAUCAUUGGGCGUAAAGCGCGUGUAGGCGGCUGAGUAAGUCUGCUCUGAAAGCCCGGGGCUCAACCCCGGGAGGCGGGUGGAUACUGCUCAGCUCGAGUCCGGAAGAGGAGUGUGGAAUUCCUGGUGUAGCGGUGAAAUGCGCAGAUAUCAGGAGGAACACCGAUGGCGAAGGCAGUGGCUGGGCCGGCACUGACGCUGAGGAGCGAAAGCGUGGGGAGCGAACAGG